UGAGGAAUAUUGGUCAAUGGGCGGAAGCCUGAACCAGCCAAGUAGCGUGAGGGAUGACUGCCCUAUGGGUUGUAAACCUCUUUUAUAAGGGAAUAAAAUACGGGACGUGUCCUGUUUUGCAUGUACCUUAUGAAUAAGGACCGGCUAAUUCCGUGCCAGCAGCCGCGGUAAUACGGAAGGUCCGGGCGUUAUCCGGAUUUAUUGGGUUUAAAGGGAGCGCAGGCCGGGUAUUAAGCGUGUUGUGAAAUGUAGGCGCCCCAACGUCUGCACCGCAGCGCGAACUGGUGCCCUUGAGUACGCACGACGUUGGCGGAAUUCGCCGUGUAGCGGUGAAAUGCUUAGAUAUGGCGAAGAACUCCGAUUGCGAAGGCAGCUGACGGGAGCGCUACUGACGCUCAUGCUCGAAAGCGCGGGUAUCGAACAGGAUUAGAUACCCUGGUAGU
rnacentral:rRNA from 1 species